AUUGAACGCUGGCGGCAGGCCUAACACAUGCAAGUCGAGCGGAUGACGGGAGCUUGCUCCUUGAUUCAGCGGCGGACGGGUGAGUAAUGCCUAGGAAUCUGCCUGGUAGUGGGGGACAACGUUUCGAAAGGAACGCUAAUACCGCAUACGUCCUACGGGAGAUAGCAGGGGACCUUCGGGCCUUGCGCUAUCAGAUGAGCCUAGGUCGGAUUAGCUAGUUGGUGGGGUAAUGGCUCACCAAGGCGACGAUCCGUAACUGGUCUGAGAGGACGAUCAGUCACACUGGAACUGGGACACGGUCCAGACUCCUACGGGAGGCAGCAGUGGGGAAUAUUGGACAAUGGGCGAAAGCCUGAUCCAGCCAUGCCGCGUGUGUGAAGAUGGUCUUCGGAUUGUAAAGCACUUUAAGUUGGGAGGAAGGGCAGUAAGUUAAUACCUUGCUGUUUUGACGUUACCGACAGAAUAAGCACCGGCUAACUCUGUGCCAGCAGCCGCCGUAA
rnacentral:rRNA from 1 species